CCUACGGGAGGCAGCAGUGAGGAAUAUUGGACAAUGGGCGCAAGCCUGAUCCAGCCAUGCCGCGUGCAGGAAGACGCAUCUAUGGUGUGUAAACUGCUUUUGUACGGGAAGAAACACUCCCUCGUGAGGAGCUUGACGGUACCGUAAGAAUAAGGAUCGGCUAACUCCGUGCCAGCAGCCGCGGUAAUACGGAGGAUCCAAGCGUUAUCCGGAAUCAUUGGGUUUAAAAGGGUCCGUAGGCGGUUUAAUAAGUCAGUGGUGAAAGCCCAUCGCUCAACGAUGGAACGGCCAUUGAUACUGUUGGACUUGAAUUACUAGGAAGUAACUAGAAUAUGUAGUGUAGCGGUGAAAUGCUUAGAUAUUACAAUGGAAUACCAAUUGCGAAGGUCAGGUUACUACUAGUGGAUUGACGCUGAUGGACGAAAGCGUGGGGAGCGAACAGGAUUAGAUACCCUGGUAGUCACGCGUAAACGAUGGAUACUAGAUGUGGUGCGAGUAUAGUAGUGUAGAGAAGUAGAGUAAGUAUACCACCGACGGAGGACGU
rnacentral:rRNA from 1 species